UUUUUUGUCGAGCCUGCGACUUUUGUCGCAGAAAGCUCGACAUAGGGAUAGUGAUCCGGCGGCGGCGGCGGCGGCGGUGUUAGCUCACUUCUUAAAAGCUUUAUAUUUUAGAAGGUGGGAGACCUGGAUGCUUCAUACUUUGUAUAUGGAUGCCUCAUGUUACGAAGUUUCCGUCAGUCACAUGUCCAAUGUCCUUGACCUCAUUUUCAUGGUUCAGUGACUACUUGAAAAAAAAGUUAAGAUUUUUUGUAAUGUUAAAUUCUCUCUUAUUAUAAGUAAUAGGAUAAAUAUAUUUGGUAUGUGCGUACCUUGCAAGGUCCUCUUGCCCGUCAGACAGUUUUCACUUGACCUCGACCUCAUUUCAUGGAUCAGUGAACAAGGUUAAGUUUUGGUGGUCAAGUCCAUAUCUGAGAUACUAUAAGCAAUAGGUCUAGUAUAUUCGGUGUAUGGAAGCACUGUAAGGUGUACAUGUCCAACUGGCAGGUGUCAUCUGACCUUGACCUCAUUUUCAUGGUUCAGUGGUUAUAGUUAAGUUUUUGUGUUUUGGUCUGUUUUUCUUAUACUGUAUGCAAUAGGUCUUCUAUAUUUUGUGUAUGGAAUGGUUGUAAGGUGUACAGGUCUACCUGGCAGGUGUCAUAUGACCUUGACCUCAUUUUCAUGGUUCAGUGGUCAAAGUUAAGUUUUUGAGUUUUGGCCUUUUUUUCUAAUACUAUAUGCAAUAGGUCAACUAUAUUUGGUGUAUGGAAAUAUUUCAUGAUCUACAUGUCAGUCGCGCAGGUUUUAUUUGACCUUGACCUCAUUUUUUACGGUUCAUUGCUCAGUGUUAAGCUUUUGUGUUUUGGUCUGUUUUUCUUAAACUAUAAGCAAUAAGUCAAUUUUAUUUGUUGUAUGGAAGAAUUGUUAGCUGUACAUGCCUACCUGGCAUUGUUCAUCUGACCUUGACCUCAUUUUCAUGGUUCAAAGGUCAAUGUUUAGUUUUCUUGGUUUAUGUUAAGUUUAUGUGACAGUUGUAAUAAAGCUU
rnacentral:lncRNA from 1 species